rnacentral:tRNA from 1 species
UCCCUGGUGGUCCAGUGGUUAAGACUUUACGCCCCCAAUGCAGGGUGCCUGGGUUCAACUCCUGGUCAGGGAA